AAGAAAAAUUCUUGUAUUUAUGCUGUCUUAAUGGAAAAAGACUGGCACUAGACAUGCAUGAAAGCAACCCACCAGGACCACACAUGCAAAGAAAGAUUCCUUAGUCCUUUAGUGAGCUGUAACCAAUUUCUUCAUUCUCUUAUAUUUAUACAUUUCCCAUGUGAACACAAGAUUGCAUAACUCUGAUUCAAGACAUUUAGGGACUUUUGUUUAUUUGGCUCUCAUAUGCGUGCAAUGACAGUCGAAGAUCAGUCACAACUAUGUGGAUCGACAUCCUUAGGCAUGGGUGGAUUCGGUAAAACAUCGAGGAGGAUCCAUUACUUGCGACAGGGCGAAUGCAAAUAUGUGAGGUUUUUUGUGUCAUGUAUGCAUUUACUCUUUUGCUUCGAUUUUGGGGUUUGAUCGUUUACCCAUUGAACAAGUAAGGGCCAAUGCAGCAACUCCACCACUUGGAUCGCUGUUUAGUCCUAAAAACCUUUUAUUGGUUCAAAACGGUAGACUCACAAAAUUUGGAAGAUCAGCAAAAGAUAGUCUAAAGCUCAAAAGACGAUCAAAAUUAUACACUCGCAAAAUAUGUUCAAAUUAUGACAGUCAAAGCUUUUGGUUCAAAACAAACACAAUCACUCACCAAAAUCCAUGUCAAACAAACUUUGGUUUGGCUUGGUCUCCUCACAAAAUCACCAAGUUUUGGAGCUGGUGACAACAAUUCUAGAUGCGGGCAAUGGCUCCCGAGACGAGACGGUUUCACGGUGUAACAGAAAGAGUUUUUACCAUGAAAAUUUAGAAGAGAAAGAAUUGCAAUGGGAAUUUAGAAGAGAAAGAAAGUAUUUUAGAGUUGUAAAAACUAGUUACAUUAGUUAGGAGUUAGUUGGUCUAAUUGGCUAUAUAAGCCUUAAUGUACUCAUUUAAUUGAUGUAACAAUUCUUUCAUACUCAAUAUUAUUUUCCAUUUCGCUGUUCUAUGUACUCA